UACAGAGGGUGCAAGCGUUAAUCGGAUUUACUGGGCGUAAAGGGCGCGUAGGUGGUUGUUUAAGUGAGAUGUGAAAUCCCCGGGCUUAACCUGGGAACUGCAUCUUAUACUGAGCAGCUGGAGUACAUUAGAGGGUAGUGGAAUUUCCGGUGUAGCGGUGAAAUGCGUAGAUAUCGGAAGGAACACCAGUGGCGAAGGCGGCUACCUGGAAUGAUACUGACACUGAGGCGCGAGAGCGUGGGGAGCAAACAGG
rnacentral:rRNA from 1 species